AGAUCUCAGCCAUGUGUGGGCGUCAGGCUUGUAAGAGACAUGAAUUAUAUGUGAGAUUCAGUGAACAAGGCUGGAAGGACUGGGUAUUGGCUCCUACCUGUUAGUCUGCCUUCUACUGUGAUGGAGAAUGCCUCUACCCUCUGUGUUCCUGCAUGAACUCCACCACCCACACUAUGAUCCAACUAGUGGACAAUGUCCCAACACACCUCCAGGCGGUGUAAGGGCUAUUUUACCAAGAAGGAGAGUGACGGAGUGCUGCAUUAGAUAACCUGGCCUCCACAAUCCCCCGACCUCAACCAAAUUGAGAUGUUUUGAGAUGAGUAGGACCGCAGUGUAAAGGAAAAACAGCCAACAAGUGCUCAGCAUAUGUGUGAACUCCUUCAAGACUGUUGGAAAAGCAUUCCAGGUGAAGUUGGUUUAGAGAAUGCCAAGAGUGUGCAAAGCUGUCAUCAAGGUAUAGGGUGGCUAUUUGAAGAAUCUCAAAUAUAUGAUAUAUGUUUUGAUAUGUUUCACACUUUUUUGGUUACUACAUGAUUCCAUUUGUUAUUUCAUAGUUGUAUUCAACAAUGUAGAAAAUAGCAUUUUCUUCUUUGAUGCACCUUAUGUCUAAACUUCUUUACAGUGAAAUGAUCUUGAUUGGUGAUCUCAACUGGUGUUGGUUAAAGCUGGUGUCUGAUGAUUUAACAAUGUUUUGUAAUUCUAUGAAUCUUACCCAGUUGAUUAACUCACACACUCGCCUAAAUCUUAAAUGCUCAGAUGAUAUCAAAUCAAUCAGGGUAGAUUUAACAAAUGUUCCACAUAAAUAUUCUGCGAUUGGUGUUUUUGUAAUGAUUUAAGUGACCAUUGUGCUGUUGUUGC